rnacentral:rRNA from 1 species
GUCGAGCGGCAGCGACUUAACUGAACCUUCGGGGAACGUUAAGGGCGGCGAGCGGCGGACGGGUGAGUAAUGCCUGGGAAUAUGCCCUGAUGUGGGGGAUAACUAUUGGAAACGAUAGCUAAUACCGCAUAAUCUCUUCGGAGCGAAGAGGGGGACCUUCGGGCCUCUCGCGUCAGGAUUAGCCCAGGUGGGAUUAGCUUGUUGGUGAGGUAAUGGCUCACCAAGGCAACGAUCCCUAGCUGGUCUGAGAGGAUGAUCAGCCACACUGGAACUGAGACACGGUCCAGACUCCUACGGGAGGCAGCAGUGGGGAAUAUUGCACAAUGGGGGAAACCCUGAUGCAGCCAUGCCGCGUGUGUGAAGAAUGCCUUCGGGUUGUAAAGCACUUUCAGUAGGGAGGAAGGUAGUGUAGUUAACACCUGCAUUAUUUGACGUUACCUACAGAAGAAGCACCGGCUAACUCCGUGCCAGCAGCCGCGGUAAUACGGAGGGUGCGAGCGUUAAUCGGAAUUACUGGGCGUAAAGCGCAUGCAGCGGCCUGUUAAGUCAAUGUGAAAGCCCGGGGCUUAACCUCGGAAUUGCAUUUGAAACUGGCAGGCUA